GGGAAAUGAUUGAUAUAAAUUUUCGGAUGAAUGGAGGUCACCGGAAAACUCCGCCGGAAAAUUUGUUGAUGGAUUUUGGACAUAAACUUUACAUCAAAGGAUAGCCCUUGAAGAGCUCUACACUUUUAUGUAAAGGAUAUAGGACUGGUAUGACCGAAACUUCGUAAAUCUAAAGAAAAAGGUGAAGAUUUAUGUUUGGUUUUUCUUAGAUCUACGGAGUUUGGCUAUGAAUAUGAACGAAUGGUUUGCGGAUUUGUGUAGAGGAGGAUGAAAGGAAGAAGUGGUAAAAAUUUAAAGAUUUUUCCGGCCAAGGGGUGGUGGC
rnacentral:lncRNA from 1 species